GAUAUUUGGAUUACUAGUAACCCACUAAGCAAAUAAGCAAUGUUUCCAAUGGUUCCACAUAUCCUACAUUCACAUCCUGUUUCAAUCCCAACCACACCUUAGGCAUCAUGAGUUUACCUCUCGCUGCAAUUUCUCAUGGGCUCUUUGAGAUAUACAGUAUUGUCAUCAAAAUCUGUCUGAUAAAGCAAAGCUUGUCAUGUUCUUAUUUGAACUUUUUCAGAGAGAAUUCAAGAGAUUAGCAUGAGUACAUCAGAGAUGCCCUGACAGUUGACAGAGUGUUUUUGCUGUGGUUGUGUGUUUGGUAUUCAAAUAGAUCCCUUUUUGAUGAGUAAGAGAGAGCCCCACCCCUUUAAGAACAGGGCUAAACUCCUAUGUGCAUAUACUUAGUUGAGCAGGUUGCAAAGCAGCAAGUCGAUCUCCAACUUGCUCCCACUAAUAGCUGGAAUACUACAGACAAAUUGUAAACACACUACUUUCACAGCAGGGGUGUGCUAUUGCUGCUUUUACUUGCCAUAGGAGUUGGCACAAGUCACACACACACACACAGACACACACACACACAUAUACACCCACGCACGCACGCACACCCACGCACGCACACACACAGACAAACAGUUUCUUCUGCAGGUUUGAACUGCGAUCAAGAUGGGCAAUGAGCAUUCCAAAAACAAGGCUGAGCAGGCUCCAGAAAAGCCCCUGCAUGGAGGUUUGAAUGGCCAUGCUGUAAGCAUCUCAUCCAAUGGCCUGGAGAAUGUUACCAGUGAAGCAGCUGUGGAGCAGAACAGUAUGCCUACCUCACUGCCUCCCUCUGAAGAGUCAGGUAUAGUGGAGGCAGAUGGCAGUGGUCUUGGGCCUGUGGUGGUGGAACAGAAGUCUGCCGUCAAGAAGGUUCCAGAAGUGGAACCAGAGACACAGAAUGCUAAGACUCAAAACACAGCGGAACCGGAACUGGAACCAGCCACCCAAGAGAAGGAGGAGCCCAAGAACAGUACACAAGAAAAAGUGAACAUCUUUGAAAAUCUGUUCAAGAAGAAAGCUAAGCCUCAACCCACCCCCAACCCGGAUCCAGCCCUGGAAAAGGAGGAGCCCAUAAGGGAGAAGAUUGUGGAGGAGAUUGAAAGUUCUGCGGAAGAUCAGAAAGUCCCUGUGGCUGUGACCGAUGGGAUCCAAGCUGAGCCACUUGCUGAGGUAAAGGAGGAUACAGAGACUUCAAAGGAGCGUCCCAACCCUAGUCCAGAGGCAGAGGAGGUCAAAAGCCCCAAAAUUGCAGAGGAAAGCAGUCACAUUCAGGAAAACCAAGAGGGAGAGAGUCAAACAGAAGAUAAUCCAGUUAUGAACUUCUUCAAAACACUAGUGACUCCCAUAAAAAAAAACAAGCAAGAAACAGCCACCCCUGAUGUUGCAAAAGACCAGAAAGAGGCCCAACCAACAACAACUACUGCUGCACAACUAGUGGAUGCAACAGCCAAAGGAGGAAUGUUAAUCCCACCAGCUGCAGCCCCAGCCCCAGCCCCGGCCCCAGCCCCGGCCGCAGCCCCGGCCGCAGCCCCUGCCCCACCCGCAGCCGCAGCCCCAGCCCCAGCCCCACCUAAGAUGGAGGUUAAAGCAGAACUAGCUGCCCAACCUGUGACCAACGCACCAAAAGAAGAACCAAAGGGUGCUGCCAAAGAAGCAGAGGCCGCCAAGCCGAAAUCUGACCGCCCGUUCAGCAGACUUUUCAGCAGAAAGGCACUGAUAGGCCUCAAGUCUAAAAUCAAGGUUAAGUCAACAAGUGGAGCCAGAGCCCCUGCCAAGCCUGCUGCAGCGACUGUGGAACCAGUGGAGCCACAGCCGGUUGUGGAAGUACAGACAGUGGAACCAGUGGAGCCACAGCCGGUUGUGGAAGUACAGAAUGUAGACUUCUCAAAGACGGCCACUCUGGAGGCCUCUGCCACUCUAGAACCACCACCACCUGCACCAGAGGACGAGAAGACACCUGCUGCCUCCAAAGCCUCUCCUUUCACUUCCUUUUCUCUUUUCAAGACCAUGGCAGCUGUGCCGAAAAAGGAAGUCCCUGCCCCAGCUGCAGAAGCGGUAGCUGGCCCAAGUGUAGCCAAGGAUGAACCAAAGGCCCCAGAGGACCCUGCUGUGGACAGCAAGCCCGUGUCAGGGCCCUCCGAGGUUAUGGAGAAUUCCCCCGUCCUCCCUAAGAGACUGGAGAAGAGGAACUCCAUCCACUUGUUCUUCAAAAACCUGGGCAAACGCCAGUCAGAUGCAGGAGUACAAACAGAACCAGAGAAGACCAAAUAAAACGGAAACACCCUUUCAAACUUCACAUGCCAUAUCUGGAAAUGAACUUUUCAUUUGUUAGAUACAUUAUGUUUCUGAUCACACUAUUGAAGGGAUGAUGGUAAGAGCAAGUGGUUUGAGGGAGAGGGGUGGACUGUGGACUGGUCUGUUCUAGUCUAAUCUAAUCUGUGUGGAUGAUUUCAGAGAAUUGUUCUUUGUGGAGGAGGUAAAAUAUAUUUUCUGGUUUAAAGGCUUGAUAGGUAGAGAAAAGUGGUUUUGUUACAUGUACUGAGAGCAAAAUCCAUUUCUAUACAGUAUUUACCCUUCUUUUAACAUGUCACUUAUUCCACGGAGGGCUGAGUGUCUGCGGGUUUUUGCUCCUCCCUUGAUUGAUUAAUUAAGGUCACUAAUUAGUAAAGAACUCCCCUCACCUGGUUGUCUAAGUCUAAAAACAAAACACCCACAGACACUAAGCCCUUCAUGGAAUGUGUUUGACACCACUGCUUUAACAUAUUAAUAUGUGUAAGGAUCUAAUGCAAAUAUUACGUUUAGCAUAUUUUUUUCCCCUCUUCAUAUACACAUUUUACUAGUCUGAAAAGAACUUGUGGAGUGCAUACAAUGGUUUCAGAUACGUUCAUAGGACGUCUUGGAGAAGAGAUGCAUAAAGCUUAGCUUGAGAUAGAAAUUGAAUAUACUCAAAAUUUAAUGGAGGAGUUGGCGAAAUGGUUGAUAUUCCUGCCAAGAUGUUUUUAUUUAGGCUAGACACAUGCAAUUUACAAUGUAAGCUUUAAACUUUGCAGGAACUGUACACGGAUGCAAAUAUAUGCCAAACACUAAAUUACAAUUUAUGAUUAUAAUCAUACACAGGGGGCGCUCCCAAUCAUUACUUUUUUGGGGAACUACACAGAUCUGGUUGUCUAUAUAGCUAACUGCACAGUCAUGCAUCAUAUUUGAUUAAUGUUUCACUGAAGUAUAAAGGUUUGUUCUAAUUUGGGUGCACUGCUUUACGUGUGUGCCUGUUUGAAUGCAGAUGUUAUAAUCUUGGGGAUCUUGUCUGUUAAUUUCUGCAUCUAUAAUUUGAUAAACUGCAUCUGGAAGUAGAAUGUUUAUUGUGACAGCAAAUUCCAAAUCAUGAAAACCUGCAAUGGGGUAUUGGGGGGGGGGGGGAGUUCUACUGAGCUAACAUAUGGAAUUUUUUUAAGAUCAUACCAUGGAUCCUUUAGCUAUUUAAUUUUUCAUUUAGGUAAAAUAUUGAAUUUGGCUUUUAAUGCUAUAGCCUAUAGAAAUGCAAUGAAUAACACAUUCAUAAAUGGCAAAACGGAGAGUACAAAAAGAAAUAAUAUAUAACGUUUUUGAAGUGUCUGUCCUACAUCUAGGAGAUGUAAUAAUGUUCAGGAUUUACACAUAUUUAACCCAUUUUUUGGGGGUGUCACAAAACUACUUCUAUAUAUUUUUUAUUAUGUUAAUUAAAUUGACGCACGGGUGCGUUGAUGGACUUUAGGGGGUAUUUAAAGCUAUUUUCCUGUAACUGUUUAAAGAGAAUAAAUGUGUACAAUUAUUUGUUUUCUUGUUUUCUAUCUCACAAUUUAGGCCAAAAGUUAUCAGUAUAGGGAAAUAUGAAAACAUAUUUAGAGUGAAAUUAAAUGUCCCUGUAAUAUAGUGAUUUAAUGUUAUCAAACAGUACUAUCAAGUGCUGCAAUAACUGAAAAAGACAUGACCCAACAAGUUUAUCAACACAUCUUGUAUUCCCAAAGUAGGGAGCCAAGCUGUUUUCAGCUAUGUUAGAAGUAUGGAG
rnacentral:lncRNA from 1 species